rnacentral:rRNA from 1 species
GACGAACGCUGGCGGCGCGCCUAACACAUGCAAGUCGAACGAGAGAGAAGGAGCUUGCUUCUUCGAUCGAGUGGCGAACGGGUGAGUAACGCGUGAGGAACCUGCCUCAAAGAGGGGGACAACAGUUGGAAACGACUGCUAAUACCGCAUAAGCCCACGGGUCGGCAUCGACCAGAGGGAAAAGGAGCAAUCCGCUUUGAGAUGGCCUCGCGUCCGAUUAGCUAGUUGGUGAGGUAAUGGCCCACCAAGGCGACGAUCGGUAGCCGGACUGAGAGGUUGAACGGCCACAUUGGGACUGAGACACGGCCCAGACUCCUACGGGAGGCAGCAGUGGGGAAUAUUGCACAAUGGGGGAAACCCUGAUGCAGCGACGCCGCGUGGAGGAAGAAGGUCUUCGGAUUGUAAACUCCUGUUGUUGAGGAAGAUAAUGACGGUACUC